rnacentral:rRNA from 1 species
AGAAUCAACGCUGGCGGCGUGCCUAACACAUGCAAGUCGAACGCGAAAGUCCCGAAAGGGAUAAGUAGAGUGGCAAACGGGUGAGUAACACGUGGGUGACCUGCCUUCGAACGGGGGAUAACGUCCCGAAAGGGACGCUAAUACCGCAUAACAUCCUGCCUUUUAAGAGGUGGAGAUCAAAGCCGGGGACCGCAAGGCCUGGCACUUGAAGAGGGGCCCGCGUCUGAUUAGCUAGUUGGUGGGGUAAUGGCCUACCAAGGCAACGAUCAGUA